rnacentral:sRNA from 1 species
UGAAUAAAAUUUUGCCACUAACAUUCACUAUCAAAACUUUAAUUGGAACAAGAUAAAAUAACAAUCUCGAGAGAGAACCAAAGAUGAUUUGAAAAAGGAUGAUCAACCUUGACUUGAAAAAGGAUGAUCAACGUUGACUUGAAAAAGGAUGAUCAACCUUGCCAUUGCAACCACAUAACAAAAACUAUUGGAGACAAAUAUUUUGAUCCGGUUCUUGAUUCAUUGAUAUUGCUGAUUAUCAGUUCAUCGCAAUAAAAAAUGUUGUUGACAUAGCCUUUCUCAAAGGUUUUGAUAGGUGUAGUCGUUGAGGUCUUUAUAUCCAACCUUCAAAGUUUUGAACCUCUUUUCUGAAGAAAAAAAUGUACCGAAACUUUCAUAUGAGAGUACACGAGUAGUCCUUGCAACCGCACUAGAAGCGAACAAGAAACUUCAAUGGCUUUCACAAUAUCAGUUGAAAUUGCUCUUGCAAUAGUAAUCUGCACAGUUCGAGGUCCCAAGGCUUCCUUAACACCCUUAAGAACAAACAUUAUUGAGCUUUUGGAAAUCUGGUUAACACAUGCUAAAUAGAUUAAUGAUC